rnacentral:lncRNA from 1 species
GUUGCUUCUGUUGCUGCUAGAGUCAGAGGCCAUAGACGACCCCCAUCAAAGUUUUCACUUGUUGCACAAAGGUAGCAAAUUGCGGAUGGACCGCUAUCACCAUCGGUCGUGAAGUGCUUGGCUCCCUGACGGUUGUCAGAGGCGCAUCACAUUGCGAUGAAUGUCAAGUGGAGCUUGCAAAAGUAUUUUGCACUCUCAUCUUGACCAUGGUGGCUCUUGGGGGAGUACUCUUCUUUCUCUACCUUCGUGCGUGCCCCCCUACCUGGUGUGCUAAACUAUUGCGGCAUAUCUUCGAUGGAGUGGUCGAUUGAGGAUCGAGUUGCUGCACCUGAGUGUCGGAUGGUAGGGAAGCAACAAAGGAUACCUAGUCGGUG